GUUUAACAAAAACAUGUCUUUUUGAUAAUAAUUUAAAGUCUAACCUGCCCAAUGAAUAAUUUUAAAUGGCCGCAGUAUUUUGACUGUGCAAAGGUAGCAUAAUCAUUAGUUUUUUAAUUGAAAGCUGGAAUGAAAGGUUGAAUGAGAAAAUAACUGUCUCUAUUUAAAUUAAUUAGAAUUUUAUCUUUAAGUAAAAAAGCUUAAAUAAGAAUAAAAGACGAGAAGACCCUAUAGAGUUUUAUAUUUAGUUAAUUUUAGAUUUUUAGUAUUUUAAAAUUAUUUUUAAUAAAAUAUUUAAUUGGGGUGAUUGAAAAAUUAAAGUAACUUUUUUUAAUUUGAAACAUUAAUUUAUGAUUAUUUGAUCCUUAAAUAAAGAUUAUAAGAUUAAAUUACCUUAGGGAUAACAGCGUAAUUUUUUUUAAGAGUUCAAAUCGAAAAAAAAGAUUGCGACCUCGAUGUUGGAUUAAA
rnacentral:rRNA from 1 species